UCAGUUGUCACAUGACCUCCA
rnacentral:piRNA from 1 species